rnacentral:rRNA from 1 species
UGAGUGGCGACGGGUGAGUAACGCGUGGGCAACCUGGCCUGUACAGGGGGAUAACACUUAGAAAUAGGUGCUAAUACCGCAUAACGGGGGAAGCCGCAUGGCUUUUCCCUGAAAACUCCGGUGGUACAGGAUGGGCCCGCGUCUGAUUAGCCAGUUGGCAGGGUAACGGCCUGCCAAAGCGACGAUCAGUAGCCGGCCUGAGAGGGCGGACGGCCACACUGGGACUGAGACACGGCCCAGACUCCUACGGAAGGCAGCAG